CCUUAGGAGGCGAUCUUUCUCCUUCUUCCCUUUUCUUCCCUCUCUUUCCUUCUUUUCUUUCCUUUGGGCGUUAAAUCUCCCGGCUCAACUGGGAGAGGUCGUUCAAUACUACCGGACUUGAGAGCGAUAGAGGAAAAUGGAAUUCCCGGUGUAGUGGUGAAAUGCGUAGAUAUCGGGAGGAACACCAGUGGCGAAAGCGAUUUUCUGGAUCGUUUCUGACGCUCAGACGCGAAAGCUAGGGUAGCAAACGG
rnacentral:rRNA from 1 species